UCCCCAUCAGGAAGUCCACACAGAAGUGCA
rnacentral:piRNA from 1 species